ncrna:unclassified sequences RT-3 RNA
AAUCGGCAUACGACAAAGAGGACGUGUCCUCAAAGCUGAGCCGAGGGGAAUGAGCCUCGCCAACAGCACCCUAUGGUGGAAAGGCGGAACAUAAACAGGAUGGGUAGAGUUCGGUAGGCCGAACGGUUCGAAGAAGUCAGGCCCA